rnacentral:rRNA from 1 species
CCUACGGGAGGCAGCAGUAGGGAAUUUUGCGCAAUGGGCGAAAGCCUGAUGCAGCAACGCCGCGUGAGUGAAUAAGCCCUUCGGCGCGUAAAGCUCUAUCAGCAGGGAAGAAACAGACGGUACCUGAGUAAGAAGCCCCGGCUAACUACGUGCCAGCAGCCGCGGUAAUACGUAGGGGGCAAGCGUUAUCCGGAUUUACUGGGUGUAAAGGGAGCGCAGACGGCGAAGCAAGCCUGAAGUGAAAGCCCGGGGCUUAACCCCGGAACUGCUCUGGAAACUGUGUGGCUGGAGUGCCGGAGAGGUAGGCGGAAUUCCGAGUGUAGCGGUGAAAUGCGUAGAUAUUAGGAGGAACACCAGUGGCGAAGGCGGCUUACUGGACGGUAACUGACGUUGAGGCUCGAAAGCGUGGGGAGCAAACAGGAUUAGAUACCCCAGUAGUC